AAAAGUUGAAGGGUUUUCAUCAUUAUCUCUUCACUUUCACUAUCAAUUAGGGUUUCAAAAUCAAUAGCUGGAGCUUGUCAUUAACACUUCGCAAGGAAUUUCUUCCCCAAAUCGUUGUUUUCAUCAUUUUCUACAGAUGCAACUUAUUGUGAGUGCUUCUUAUUUUUAAAAGGUUUGAUUUUUCACAUAUCUAUUGAAUUGAUCCACCGAUUGGACCACUUUUGUGUCCCCAUGUGAGUUGAUUUUGUCUCCUUGUGGUGUUGCUGUUGUUAUUUUUAUUUAUUUUUAUUUUUUAAUAGAAAGGUGCUCUUGUUA
rnacentral:lncRNA from 1 species